UGGGGAAUAUUGCACAAUGGGGGAAACCCUGAUGCAGCGACGCCGCGUGAACGAAGAAGGUAUUCGUAUCGUAAAGUUCUGUCCUAUGGGAAGAUAAUGACAGUACCAUAGAAGAAAGCUCCGGCUAAAUACGUGACAGCAGCCGCGGUAAUACGUAUGGAGCGAGCGUUGUCCGGAAUUAUUGGGCGUAAAGGGUACGCAGGCGGUUUAAUAAGUCGAAUGUUAAAGAUCGGGGCUCAACCCCGUAAAGCAUUGGAAACUGAUAAACUUGAGUAGUGUAGAGGAAAGUGGAAUUCCUAGUGUAGUGGUGAAAUACGUAGAUAUUAGGAAGAAUACCAGUAGCGAAGGCGACUUUCUGGACACAAACUGACGCUGAGGUACGAAAGCGUGGGGAGCAAACAGG
rnacentral:rRNA from 1 species